GACGAACGCUGGCGGCGUGCUUAACACAUGCAAGUCGAACGGUAAGGCCCUUCGGGGUACACGAGUGGCGAACGGGUGAGUAACACGUGGGUGAUCUGCCCUGCACUUCGGGAUAAGCCUGGGAAACUGGGUCUAAUACCGGAUAGGACUCCUGGCUCCAUGGUGGGGGGUGGAAAGCUUUUGGGGUGUGGGAUGGGCCCGCGGCCUAUCAGCUUGUUGGUGGGGUAAUGGCCUACCAAGGCGACGACGGGUAGCCGGCCGGAGGGGGUGAACGGUCCCGCUGGGACUGAGAUACGGCCCAGAGUGCUACGGGAGGCAGCAGUUGGGAAUAUUGUACAAUGGGCGCAAGCCUGAUGCAGCGACGCCGCGUGAGGGAUGACGGCCUUCGGGUUGUAAACCUCUUUCAGCUAUGCCGAAGCGCAAGUGACGGUAGUAGCAGAAGAAGGACCGGCCAACUACGUGCCAGCCGCCGCCGUAA
rnacentral:rRNA from 1 species